rnacentral:tRNA from 1 species
GGGAUUGUGGCUCAGCGGUAGAGUGCUUGCCAAGCACGUGCAAGACCCUGAGUUCAAUCCUCAGCACCA